CCUACGGGUGGCAGCAGUGGGGAAUAUUGCACAAUGGGGGAAACCCUGAUGCAGCGACGCCGCGUGAGCGAAGAAGUAUUUCGGUAUGUAAAGCUCUAUUAGCAGGGAAGAAAAUGACGGUACCUGAGUAAGAAGCUCCGGCUAAAUACGUGCCAGCAGCCGCGGUAAUACGGAUGGAGCAAGCGUUAGCCGGAUUUACUGGGCGUAAAGGGCGCGUAGGCGGCAUGGCAAGUCUGAUGUGAAAUACCAGGGCUCAACCCCGGGGCUGCAGUGGAAACUGGCAGGCUGGAGUGCGGGAGAGGCAGGCGGAAUUCCUGGUGUAGCGGUGAAAUGCGUAGAGAUUAGGAGGAACACCAAUGGCGAAGGCGGCCUGCUGGACCGUAACUGACGCUGAGGCUCGAAAGCGUGGGGAGCAAACAGGAUUAGAUACCCUAGUAGUC
rnacentral:rRNA from 1 species